GUUGAAAUGAUGUAUAAAUUGUAAUCACAGAGCUUUUAUACAAGUUCAGCCAGGCUGUCCAAAAUAGGACUUAGUAAUAGUCCAAGGAAACCUUCACCACGUUGAACGAGUAUCCGUUUUUUUCUUCUUCCACAUUUUCCUCUAUCUGCCAACCUAAGCAUUUCAUUUUUGUAAGGUCGGAGUUUCUUCAUCACAUGCUUCGGCAUUAAAUAUUUUCUUUUCAUAACGUUUUCUACACAGAAACACAGGCAGUGUACUUGUUCGGCGCUUGCUGUUUCCAGUAGUGCUUGUUGUUGAUCAGGCUCGGACGUGCCCAACAAUUCAAGAUAUGGCUUGUGCCUUAGAAGAUUGAUCAUUUCUGUUCGACGGUUUGGAAGCAAAUGAGUAAAACACAACAAUAAGGAAGCUUAUAUCGGAAGAGAGAAAGCAAUUUAUACAAGGCUCCGAGUUAUUGAGAGCUUGACUCUGAACUUAUCGAACUUGGCUCCUUGUGCAUGUCAGAUAAGGAAGAUAAGAGGAUAAAUAUAAGGAAGAUAAGGAUAAGGAAGAUAAGAAGAUAAAGAUAAGAAGAUAAAGAUAACGAUAACGAUAAAGAAGAUAAAGAUAAGGAUAAAGAUAAGGAUAAAGAUAAGAAGAUAAAGAUAAGGAUAAAGAUAAGAAGAUUAGGAUAAAGAUAAGGAAGAUAAAGAUAAGGAAGAUAAAGAUAAGGAUAAGGAACAUAAAGAUUAAGAUAAGGAUAAAGAUAAGGAAGAUAAAGAUAAGGAUAAAAAUAAAGAUAAGGAUAAAGAUAAGAGGAUAAAGAUAAAGAUAAGGAAGAUAAGGAAGAUAAAGAUAAGGAAGAUAAGGAAGAUAAAGAUAAGGAAGAUAAGAUAAGAUAAGGAUAAAGAUAAGGAAGAUAAAUAUAAGGAAGAUAAAUAUAAGGAAGAUAAAUAUAAGGAAGAUAAAGAUAAGGAUAAAGAAGACAAAAAGAUAAGGAUAAAGAUUAAGAUAAGGAUAAAGAUAAGGAAGAUAAAGAUAAGGAAGAUAAAGAUAAGGAUAAAGAUAAGGAUAAAGAUAAGGAUAAAGAUAAGGAUAAAGAUAAGGAUAAAGAUUAAAAGAUAAAGAUAAAGAUAAGGAAGAUAAGAUAAGAUAAGGGUAAAGAUAAAGAUAAGGAUAAAGAUAAGAUAAAGAUAAAGAUAAGGAAGAUAAAUAUAAGGAAGAUAAAGAUAAGGAUAAACAAGAUAAAUAUAAAGAAGAUAAAGAUAAAGAUUAAGAUAAGGUUAAAGAUAAGGAAGAUAAAGAUAAGGAUAAAGAUAAGGAUAAAGAUAAGGAUAAAGAUAAGGAUAAAGAUAAGGAUAAAGAUAAGGAUAAAGAUAAGGAUAAAGAUUAAAAGAUAAGGAUAAAGAUAAGGAAGAUAAAGAUAAGGAAGAUAAGAUAAGAUAAGGAUAAAGAUAAAGAUAAGAAUAAAGAUAAGACAAAGAUAAAGAUAAGGAAGAUAAAUAUGAGGAAGAUAAAGAUAAAGAUAAGAGGAUAAAUAUAAGGGAGAUAAGGAAGAUAAGAAGAUAAAUAUAAGAAGAUAAAGAUAAGGAUAAAGAUAAGAAGAUAAAGAUAAGGAUAAAGAUAAGAAGAUAAGGAUAAAGAUAAGGAAGAUAAACAUAAAGAUAAGGAUAAGGAACAUAAAGAUUAAGAUAAGGAUAAAGAUAAGGAAGAUAAAGAUAAGGAUAAAGAUUAAGAUAAAGAAGAUAAAGAUAAGAGGAUAAAGAUAAAAAUAAGGAUAAAGAAGAUAAUGAUAAGAAUAAAGAUAAAGAAGAUAAAGAUAAGGAAGAUAAAGAUAAAGAUAAGGAUAAAGAAGAUAAAGAUAAGGAAGAUAAAGAUAAGGAUAAAGAUAAGGAUAAAGAUAAUGAUAAAGAUAAAGAAUAUAAAGAUAAAGAUAAGGAUAAAGAUAAGGAAGAUAAAGAUACAGAAUAACACUGGAUAGAUGCAUUAAUGAAUAUAUAGAACGAAUACGCCAACUUAUUAUCACUUCCAGCUAGACGUUCGUGGUGUGAACAUGUCCUUUCCGUGCAAUAUAUGUGCCAAAGUAUUUUCAACACGCGGCAACCUCAAGCGUCAUACUUUGAAUGCCCAUGGAGACGUUCAAAGCAAACCAGUUGAAAUCUCAGCAGGAUCUACAGUUUUGCAGCAUCCUUUCACAUGUAUCGUAGCUGGGUGUACCCAAAGCGGCAAGACUGUGUGGGUAAAAUCUCUCUUGGAGAAUGCACAGAAAACUAUAAGUCCUGCUCCUCAACGUAUCAUUUGGUGUUAUGGUCAAUGGCAACCCUCCUAUUUUGAUAUGAUGAGAACGAUGCCUGGAAUCGAGUUUAAUCAGGGCAUCCCCGAAGACAUCGACAACGCAGAUUACUUGGACGUAUCGCAACGGAAUUUGGUCGUAUUGGACGACCUUAUGGCUCAAUCUGGCAAAGAUAAACGUAUUUCUGAUCUUUUUACGAAAGGAAGUCAUCAUCGGAAUUUAUCUAUCAUCUAUAUUGUUCAAAAUAUAUUCCAUCAAGGCAAAGAAAUGAGAAAUAUCAGUCUAAACGCCCAUUAUAUCGUGCUGUUCAAGUCACCAAGAGAUAAACAGCAAAUUUCUAUGCUUGCAAGGCAAGUAGAUCCUGGAAGAGUACAAGAAUUUAUGAGGAGUUAUGAAGAUGCUACGAGCCGACCUCACGGGUAUUUGAUGUUGGAUUUAAAGCCAACAACAGAUGAUCAGC
rnacentral:lncRNA from 1 species